GCCUUCUGACUGAAUAAUGAUUAUAACAAUUGCUAAAACUUUCAACAACGGAUCUCUUGGUUCUCGCAUCGAUGAAGGACGCAGCGAAAUGCGAUAAGAAGUGUGAAUUGCAGAAUUCAGUGAAUCAUCGAAUCUUUGAACGCACAUUGCGCCUCCUGGUAUUCCGGGAAGCAUGCC
rnacentral:rRNA from 1 species